rnacentral:tRNA from 1 species
GGGGAUAUAGCUCAAUAGGUAGAGCGCAUGUUUUGCAAGCAUGAGGUUAUCGGUUCAAGUCCGUUUGUCUCCA